rnacentral:rRNA from 1 species
GUGGGGAAUAUUGCACAAUGGGCGCAAGCCUGAUGCAGCCAUGCCGCGUGUGUGAAGAAGGCCUUCGGGUUGUAAAGCACUUUCAGUAGGGAGGAAGGCGUGGUCGCUAAUAUCGGCUACGUUUGACGUUACCUACAGAAGAAGCACCGGCUAACUCCGUGCCAGCAGCCGCGGUAAUACGGAGGGUGCAAGCGUUAAUCGGAAUUACUGGGCGUAAAGCGCAUGCAGGCGGUCUGUUAAGUCAGAUGUGAAAGCCCCGGGCUUAACCUGGGAGUGGCAUUUGAGACUGGCAGGCUAGAGUCUUGUAGAGGGGGGUAGAAUUCCAGGUGUAGCGGUGAAAUGCGUAGAGAUCUGGAGGAAUAUCGGUGGCGAAGGCGGCCCCCUGGACAAAGACUGACGCUCAGAUGCGAAAGCGUGGGUAGCAAACAGGAUUAGAAACCCUUGUAGUCC